GUGUCUGAUCCUCUGGUGUCUGACCCUCUGACCCUCUGGUGUCUGACCCUCUGGUGUCUGAUCCUCUGGUGUCGAAGGUGUCUGACCCGGCGCUUCAUCAUCACGUUGCUGCAUCACAAAACAAGCACAAGCCCUUUUAUGAUGCUGAUGGAUGUGCCAUUGUAGCCUAGCCUCACGAUCAUGAUGUGAAUGAUCCCAAACCCUACUGUGACAGUAGACAGUAGCACUGCUUCUUGUUCCCUGGCAGACCAAGCUGGUUAAGGUCACAUGGCACUCGUUGGCCGUAAGUUUGUCUCGUCCUGAAAUACCAGAUAUGUUUUUUGUAUAUCUUUUUUUUUUUUUCUUCCCUCCAUCUCUUGAAACUUGAAUUCCGAAAGUCUCCCUUCAUAAUAACGGGUGUCCAUGUGUAAAAUAUGAUGUUUUGAAACCACUUUCAUUCUGAAAAAAAAAGCUGACUGUGCCGUGAUGUCAUCCAACCCUCUGUGAUUAUUAGGAGAUGCCGCGCAGUGAGAGCUACACACUGCAGUUGUACUCAACACAGCCUCUGGUGGCUAAAAUAAUGUCUAUAGGCUAUUAGAUAUUAUAUUAUAAUCAAUUUCCUCCACUCUACCUGCACUAAUUAUACAAUGGGAAAGCGACACUAAUAUCCACUAUCAGUUUCAAUAGGAACAUUUGAACAAUCACUUUUUGACAUGUUAAAUAAGCUAUAUCCACUAUUAUACCCGCUACCUAUCCUUACUAUUCUACUGUCUGUAAGAAUAUAAGGCAUACUGUUGCUUAGUGACCAGGGGGUAAUGAGACACAAACACUCACACAACACUGCAUAGUCAUAACUGGCAACUUGGCCUAGUAGCUAGGUCAGAGGUCAUGAUGUGUGGCUGGGCAGUGGGAGGUCAGAGGUCAUGAUAUGUGGCUGGGCAGUGGGAGGUCAGAGUUCAUGAUGUGUGGCUGGGCAGUGGGAGGUCAGAGGUCAUGUUUGGUGUGCGUCAGGUGAGGGAGCUGAGCCACCUGUUCAGAGAGCCAGACAGACCGACAGGAGCGCACGGUCCUCAGGGACAUCAGACUGCCGGGGGGGCCUGGUGGGGGGGCCUGGUGGCCCUCUUCAUCCUGCGGGUGGCGCUGUGCUGCGCCGGGACGCUCCUGACCCUCCCCCCCCUGCGCCCCCCCCCCCCCUCCGUGCUGCUGGGCAGCGAGGACGCGAGGCUGCGGGUACCCAGCCUCAGCACACCUGGACUCUCACCUGGACUCUCUCACCUGCUGGAGACACCAGCCUGUAAAUGAAUGGACUUAACGACUGUCUACUUGUAUAAAGGUUAUUUAUUAUGUGAA